GGAGGAGUCGGAUAAUGGUUAUUCCAAGAGUUUGCUAAACUCUGACCCCUUACGGGGUCUUGUGGGUUCGAGUCCCACCUCCUCCGCCA
rnacentral:tRNA from 1 species